AAAGUUGUUGCAGUUAAAAAGCUCGUAGUUGAACUUUGGACUCGCUGGGUCGGUCCGCCUAACGGUGUGCACUGGCCCUGGUGGGUUCGAUUUUUUGGCUGGCCGGUCUGCUCUUUGCUGGGUGGAUCUGGGGUAGCCAAGACUUUUACUUUGAAAAAAUUAGAGUGUUCGAAGCAGGCUCGCGCUUGAAUACAUUAGCAUGGAAUAAUGGAAUAGGACCGUGGUUCUAUUUUGUUGGUUUACAGGACCAAGGUAAUGAUUAACAGGGACAGUUGGGGCAUUAGUAUUUCAGGGCUAGAGGUGAAAUUCUUGGAUUCCUGAAAGACUGACUACUGCGAAAGCAUCUGCCAAGGAUGUUUUCAUUAAUCAAGAACGACAGUUAGGGGAUCGAAAACGAUUAGAUACCGUUGUAGUCUUAACCAUAAACUAUGCCGACUCAGGAUCAGUGGGUGUCGAUUUUUGAAAGACCCAUUGGCACUGUAGGAGAAAUCAAAGUGUUUGGGCUCUGGGGGGAGUAUGGUCGCAAGGCUGAAACUUAAAGGAAUUGACGGAAGAACACACAAGAAGUGGAUUCUGCGGUUUAAUUUGACUCAACACGGGAAAACUUACCAGGUCCAGACAUAGUAAGGAUUGACAGAUUGAGAGCUCUUUCUUGAUUCUAUGGGUGGUGGUGCAUGGCCGUUCUUAGUUGGUGGAGUGAUCUGUCUGGUUAAUUCCGAUAACGAACGAGACCUUAACUUACUAACUAGUCCCGGGAAUUACGAUUCCUGCUGGGGACUUCUUAGAAGGACUAUGGACGUUUAGUCCAUGGAAGUUUGAGGCAAUAACAGGUCUGUGAUGCCCUUAGAUGUUCUGGGCCACACGCGCGCUACACUGAUAAAGUCAGCGAGUCCAUUCCUUGGCCGACAGGUCUGGGUAAUCUUGUGAAACUUUAUCGUGAUGGGGAUAGACCAUUGCAAUUAUUGGUCUUCAACGAGGAAUUCCUAGUAAGCGCGAGUCAUCAACUCGCGUUGAUUACGUCCCUGUUCUUUGUACACACCGCCCGUCGCUACUACCGAUU
rnacentral:rRNA from 1 species